ACGCUUGAAGUCAGUCGCGUCGGCUAGAAAUCAACCUUGCUUUUGCUUGGUGUACUUUCUGGUUCGACGGGUCAGCAUCAAUUUUGACCGCUGGAUAAAGUCUUUGGGAAUGUGGCAUCUUUUUUGAUGUGUUAUAGCCCAUGGUCGCAUACAGUGGUUGGGAUUGAGGAAUUCAGCACGCCGCAAGGCCAGGUUAUAUACCAUGUUCUCGUGCUUAGGAUGCUGGCAUAAUGGCUUUAAUCGACCCGUCUUGAAACACGGACCAAGGAGUC
rnacentral:rRNA from 1 species